AUGCAUGGAUAUGUACAUAUAGAGAAUACACAAAUAUGAAGAACUUACAAGAUGAAGAAACAAAAGGAUGAACAGUAUAUUUACAAAGUGGAGAUAGCUUGAAGGAGCUUGCUUCUCUCCGACAUGGACUCUUGAACAAACUUCAUACUUAUGCACAGGACUCUUGAACAAACAGAAUAAGAAUAAGAAGGAAGAAAGAAGAGGGUUGUACAAGACUCAAGGGAAAGAUAUAUAUAAAGGGGUACAAGAU
rnacentral:lncRNA from 1 species